rnacentral:tRNA from 1 species
GUGCCCAUAGCUCAACUGGAUAGAGCGUUUGGCUACGGACCAAAAGGUUGUGGGUUCAAUUCCUGCUGGGCACGCCA